GAGGCUGUACUGUGCUUCAUAUAGUAAUAUGAGAAUGAUACAGAAGAGAUCAACAUGAUCCCUGUGCAAAGAUGACAAAUUUAUGAAGCGUUCCACAUUUGG